rnacentral:rRNA from 1 species
CCAGACAGCCAGGAUGUUGGCUUAGAAGCAGCCAUCAUUUAAAGAAAGCGUAAUAGCUCACUGGUCGAGUCGGCCUGCGCGGAAGAUGUAACGGGGCUAAACCAUGCACCGAAGCUGCGGCAGCGACGCUUAUGCGUUGUUGGGUAGGGGAGCGUUCUGUAAGCCUGUGAAGGUGUGCUGUGAGGCAUGCUGGAGGUAUCAGAAGUGCGAAUGCUGACAUAAGUAACGAUAAAGCGGGUGAAAAGCCCGCUCGCCGGAAGACCAAGGGUUCCUGUCCAACGUUAAUCGGGGCAGGGUGAGUCGACCCCUAAGGCGAGGCCGAAAGGCGUAGUCGAUGGGAAACAGGUUAAUAUUCCUGUACUUGGUGUUACUGCGAAGGGGGGACGGAGAAGGCUAUGUUGGCCGGGCGACGGUUGUCCCGGUUUAAGCGUGUAGGCUGGUUUUCCAGGCAAAUCCGGAAAAUCAAGGCUGAGGCGUGAUGACGAGGCACUACGGUGCUGAAGCAACAAAUGCCCUGCUUCCAGGAAAAGCCUCUAAGCAUCAGGUAACAUCAAAUCGUACCCCAAACCGACACAGGUGGUCAGGUAGAGAAUACCAAGGCGCUUGAGAGAACUCGGGUGAAGGAACUAGGCAAAAUGGUGCCGUAACUUCGGGAGAAGGCACGCUGAUAUGUAGGUGAAGUCCCUCGCGGAUGGAGCUGAAAUCAGUCGAAGAUACCAGCUGGCUGCAACUGUUUAUUAAAAACACAGCACUGUGCAAACACGAAAGUGGACGUAUACGGUGUGACGCCUGCCCGGUGCCGGAAGGUUAAUUGAUGGGGU